rnacentral:rRNA from 1 species
AUUGAACGCUAGCGGGAUGCUUUACACAUGCAAGUCGAACGAGUGGCGGACGGGUGAGUAAUAUAUCGGAAAGUGCCCAGUAGCGGGGGAUAACUACUCGAAAGAGUGGCUAAUACCGCAUACCAAUGGAUGGGACGAUAUCGGAUUAGAUAGUUGGUGGGGUAAAGGCUCACCAAGGCAACGCUCCGUAGCUGGUUUGAGAGGACGACCAGCCCCACUGGAACUGAGACCCGGCCCAGACCCCUACGGGUGUCAGCAGUGGGGAAUUUUGGACAAUGGGGGAAACCCUGAUCCAGCCAUCCCGCGUGUAUGAGAAGGCCUUCGGGUUGUAAAGUACUUUUGGCAGAGAGGCGGUAUCUGCAGAAUAAGCACCGGCUAACUACGUGCCAGCAGCCGCGGUAAUUC